rnacentral:rRNA from 1 species
CCUACGGGGGGCAGCAGUGGGGGAUAUUGCACAAUGGGGGAACCCUGAUGCAGCGACGCCGCGUGGGUGAAGGAGUAUUUCGGUAUGUAAAGCCCUAUCGGCAGGGAAGAAGCAAGACGGUACCUGACUAAGAAGCCCCGGCUAACUACGUGCCAGCAGCCGCGGUAAUACGUAGGGGGCGAGCGUUAUCCGGAUUCACUGGGUGUAAAGGGAGCGUAGACGGCCAUGCAAGCCAGGGGUGAAAGCCCGGGGCCCAACCCCGGGACUGCCCUUGGAACUGUGCGGCUAGAGUGCGGGAGGGGCAG